GAAUUCGUUCAUACUGCCUAGUGUACUUGCGACGUUUAAUGCAACUCGGUAUAGCUUUGGUUUAGUUUACUUGUCGGACUUAAAGGUUCUGAAGGAGGGACAAUCUUGUUUUAAUUAAAAUUAACUUCUAAAGUUAGUUUUUCAGGCUCAUCAAAAUUGGAGAGCAACAGUUUGGGACUCCUUCCUUGUCAGACCUGCUGAAUAUGCUGUGAUCGAUCCAAAGUCUGUCGCAUUGUGAGUGAUUGUGAGCGAUAAUGAGCUGGAGCGCUGACCGCGUUCCGACAAGCCGGAGCGACAUGGAGUGGCGGAGCUGCGCAUGCGCCGCAGCUACUUUGUACUCGCACCGCGAACUAAUGUUGACUUUGAAUUCCGGCACAUAGCAUUUUCGUCCAGAAUGCUAGGUGUUAAACCUAAACAACACCUUAAUUGUCCUAUUAUAAAUUAUACUUACCUCUACACUCUACGCUUCUACUCUAUCUUGUCAGAUUUGAUAAUACGUAUAUAGGUUUUGAGGAAUAAUACCGAUUUCUAUUCCUUCUUCCUUCCUAUGUAGAUAAAACUAGCAAGAUACUUUCCUCUUUCUCUUUGUUGAAUUUGGAUUUGGGAAUCAUCUGCAAUGAACAGGAUUUUUGCAGGAUAAAGGAAUGUACAAGGAUACCCACUUACACUAUCCAUCAUCAAGAAUACUCUGCUGCCCGCAGUCUUUUCAUUCAGUAGACCCGUGGAGAGCAACAGUUAUUUCAAAUUUAAGAAGACGUUUCUGCAAAACUGGAGAAAGAACAGCCUGUAUAGUAUUAAAUUAAAUUAAGAUUGAAAAUUCAAAAAGAGUUCAUCUCGCAAUUUAAAUUCAUACACGUUGACAUUAGUCUGUCGUAAAUUAUUGUGAGGCGAAAAAUGGUUAGUCGCGUGUUAAGCAAAAAUAUUUUAAUUGACAAGUGAAAUAAUCCAAGCCUCUCUGCAGUAGUACUCAAUCGUUCAUGAGAAUAAAGUCAUGAUUAAGAA